UACGAGGGGGGCAAGCGUUGUUCGGAAUUAUUGGGCGUAAAGAGCUCGUAGGCGGUUUGUCGCGUCGGAUGUGAAAAUCCAGGGCUCAACCCUGGACCUGCAUUCGAUACGGGCAGACUAGAGUUCGGUAGGGGAGACUGGAAUUCCUGGUGUAGCGGUGAAAUGCGCAGAUAUCAGGAGGAACACCGGUGGCGAAGGCGGGUCUCUGGGCCGAAACUGACGCUGAGGCGCGAAAGCGUGGGGAGCAAACGGG
rnacentral:rRNA from 1 species